UUUACUAUAGCUUGACACUGAACAUUGAGCCUUGAUGUGUAGGAUAGGUGGGAGGCUUUGAAGUGUGGACGCCAGUCUGCAUGGAGCCGACCUUGAAAUACCACCCUUUAAUGUUUGAUGUUCUAACGUGGACCCGUAAUCCGGGUUGCGGACAGUGUCUGGUGGGUAGUUUGACUGGGGCGGUCUCCUCCUAAAGAGUAACGGAGGAGCACGAAGGUUGGCUAAUCCUGGUCGGACAUCAGGAGGUUAGUGCAAUGGCAUAAGCCAGCUUGACUGCGAGCGUGACGGCGCGAGCAGGUGCGAAAGCAGGUCAUAGUGAUCCGGUGGUUCUGAAUGGAAGGGCCAUCGCUCAACGGAUAAAAGGUACUCCGGGGAUAACAGGCUGAUACCGCCCAAGAGUUCAUAUCGACGGCGGUGUUUGGCACCUCGAUGUCGGCUCAUCACAUCCUGGGGCUGAAGUAGGUCCCAAGGGUAUGGCUGUUCGCCAUUUAAAGUGGUACGCGAGCUGGGUUUAGAACGUCGUGAGACAGUUCGGUCCCUAUCUGCCGUGGGCGCUGGAGAACUGAGGGGGGCUGCUCCUAGUACGAGAGGACCGGAGUGGACGCAUCACUGGUGUUCGGGUUGUCAUGCCAAUGGCACUGCCCGGUAGCUAAAUGCGGAAGAGAUAAGUGCUGAAAGCAUCUAAGCACGAAACUUGCCCCGAG
rnacentral:rRNA from 1 species